CCCCAAUUCUGUAGCUACACCACUCAGGAACAAUUAGUUAUCAUUCCAUCACACAUAAAGCAUGCAAUCUUCCUUUACAAUCACUUCCCCUUACAGGCUUAAAAACACAACACAGAAAAAAAAGAAGCACACAACUGACAGGACACCGAGACAUAACAUUUGCUUCAUUGAAAAUCACUAUUUCCUAAACGGGACCUUCCGGGACAACGGCGCUGAUCCAAAAAACUGAGGUUGAAAACGCCAACAAAGCUUUUCUUUAUGUUUAAUGACAAGAAAAGGCACACAAUGUACCAAUGAUGUAAGGAAGGCUGGAAUCAGGCGUAGGGCACAAUAUACCGAUACAUUGGGAGACCGCUGAAGAUCUGAGCAGUGAAAACAGGAAAUAAGAAAACUGAUCAUCACUGGAAAAGAGAAGCACAAUAUAAAGGAUCCAGGACAUCAGAGAUGGAUCCGAAGUUUACAGUGCAAUUAUUGCUGCUUAUACUCGGUGUUAUCUUUGCUGUGGCUGCACAAAACGACAACCAGUGUAUCAAGGAGGAAGUACCUGGUAAAGGUCAGUAGAUGGGGAUCAUUGUACCUAAAAAACAUUAUUCCACAUUUCUAGAUUUAUGGUAACUUGGAUAUUGUCAGACAGGGAAGUUACACACUGUUGGGUGCUCAGUGCUGGGAAACUGGUUCAGUUAUUUCUCCACAAGC